ACAUGACUUGGCUGGCAGGACAAAGCAUCCUGAGGAGAAAAGUAGCUUGCCCAGGACUUCACAGGAAACUUACAGGAGCCCUAAGUGGGCCACACUGCUCAGAGGGAGGAGGACUAUGUGGAGAGCAGGGAUCCCACAGCCACACCAAGACUGCAGAGGCACUCUAUGUGCUGGAACAGCUGAACCACGAGAGGAGUUCCCUGAAGCUCUUGCCUCUGGCCAAAACUGCUCAAAUGACAG
rnacentral:lncRNA from 1 species